UACGAAGGGUGCAAACGUUGCUCGGAAUUAUUGGGCGUAAAGCGCACGUAGGCGGCUUAGCAAGUUGGAUGUGAAAUCCCUCGGCUCAACCAAGGAAGUGCAUCCAAAACUGCUGAGCUUGAAUACUUAAGAGGGUCUCGGAAUUCCCGGUGUAGAGGUGAAAUUCGUAGAUAUCGGGAGGAACACCAGUGGCGAAGGCGGAGACCUGGGCCGAUACUGACGCUGAGGUGCGAAAGCGUGGGAGCAAACAGG
rnacentral:rRNA from 1 species